rnacentral:rRNA from 1 species
CCUCCUUUGUUCCGCCGUUCUUACUAUUGUUCCCUGGGCUUCCGCCUGAACCAGCCAAGUCGCGUGAGGGAAGACUGCCCUAUGGGUUGUAAACCUCUUUUGUCAGGGAGCAAAUGGCGCUACGUGUAGCGUUAUCGAGAGUACCUGAAGAAAAAGCAUCGGCUAACUCCGUGCCAGCAGCCGCGGUAAUACGGAGGAUGCGAGCGUUAUCCGGAUUUAUUGGGUUAAAAGGGUGCGUAGGCGGAGUGCCAAGUCAGCGGUAAAAUCGCGGGGCUCAACCUCGCUCAGCCGUUGAAACUGGCGUUCUUGAGUGGGCGAGAAGUAUGCGGAAUGCGUGGUGUAGCGGUGAAAUGCAUAGAUAUCACGCAGAACUCCGAUUGCGAAGGCAGCAUACCGGCGCCCAACUGACGCUGAAGCACGAAAGCGUGGGUAUCGAACAGGAUUAGAUACCCCAGUAGUC